rnacentral:rRNA from 1 species
CCUACGGGUGGCAGCAGUCGAGAAUCAUUCACAAUGGGGGAAACCCUGAUGGUGCGACGCCGCGUGGGGGAAUGAAGGUCUUCGGAUUGUAAACCCCUGUCAUGUGGGCGCAAAUUAAAAAGAUAGUACCACAAGAGGAAGAGACGGCUAACGGUGUGCCAGCAGCCGCGGUACUACAGAGGUCUCAAGCGUUGUUCGGAAUCACUGGGCGUAAAGCGUGCGUAGGCUGUGUCGUAAGGCGUGUGUGAAAGGGGCGGGCUCAACCCGCGGACGGCACAUGAUACUGCGAGACUAGAGUGAUGGAGGGGGAACCGGAAUUCUCGGUGUAGCAGUGAAAUGCGUAGAUAUCGGGAGGAACACUCGUGGCGAAGGCGGGUUCCUGGACAUUAACUGACGCUGAGGCACGAAGGCCAGGGGAGCGAAAGGGAUUAGAUACCCUUGUAGUC